rnacentral:rRNA from 1 species
GACGUAGGGCGCGAGCGUUGUCCGGAUUUAUUGGGCGUAAAGAGCGUGUAGGCGGCCAGGUAGGUCAGCUGUGAAAACUCGAGGCUCAACCUCGAGAUGUCGGCUGAAACCAUCUGGCUAGAGUCCGGAAGAGGAGAAUGGAAUUCCCGGUGUAGCGGUGAAAUGCGCAGAUAUCGGGAAGAACACCCGUGGCGAAGGCGGUUCUCUGGGACGGUACUGACGCUGAGGCGCGAAAGCGUGGGGAGCAAACAGG